rnacentral:rRNA from 1 species
CGGAACGGGUGAGUAAUGCGUGACCAACCUGCCCCAUGCUCCAGAAUAGCUCUUGGAAACGGGUGGUAAUGCUGGAUGCUCCAACUUGACGCAUGUCUUGUUGGGAAAGUGUUUAGUGGCAUGGGAUGGGGUCGCGUCCUAUCAGCUUGUAGGCGGGGUAAUGGCCCACCUAGGCUUCGACGGGUAGCCGGCCUGAGAGGGCGGACGGCCACAUUGGGACUGAGAUACGGCCCAGACUCCUACGGGAGGCAGCAGAG